GUGAGCGUGUCCCGCCUCUCCUUUUACAAUCAUAGGAAGCAGAACUAUUCCGCGCCUUACUAACAGAGCUGGGAAUCAGGAGCAGGUGAACAAGGAAGAGACGCUGCGCUGACGCUAUCAGGGCCACUUCCAGGUCAGUCCCUCCCACAAGGAGCCAAUGGGAAUGUGGGAGGAAGCGAGUGACACAGGGAUGAAGGGGAAGAAGAAGGAUAA